GGUCAGGAUGAACGCUAGCUACAGGCUUAACACAUGCAAGUCGAGGGGCAGCAUGAACUUAGCUGCUAAGUUGAUGGCGACCGGCGCACGGGUGAGUAACGCGUAUCCAACCUACCCCUUAGUAGGGCAUAGCCCGUAGAAAUGCGGAUUAAUACCCUAUGUUUUCCGGAGACGGCAUCAGAACUGGAACAAAGAUUGAUCGCUAAGGGAUGGGGAUGCGUACGAUUAGGUUGUUGGCGGGGUAACGGCCCACCAAGCCUGCGAUCGUUAGGGGUUCUGAGAGGAAGGUCCCCCACACUGGUACUGAGACACGGACCAGACUCCUACGGGAGGCAGCAGUGAGGAAUAUUGGUCAAUGGGCGUGAGCCUGAACCAGCCAAGUAGCCGUGCAGGACGACGGCCCUACGGGUUGUAAACUGCUUUUAUCAGGGGAUAAAGUGCGGGACGUGUCCCUCAUUGCAGGUACCUGACGAAUAAGGACCGGCUAAUUCCGUGCCAGCCGCAGC
rnacentral:rRNA from 1 species